rnacentral:rRNA from 1 species
GAGAGUUAAACAGUACGUGAAAUUGUUGAAAGGGAAACGAUUGAAGUCAGUCAUACCAACGGGAAAUCAACCUCUUGAGUUUGGUCUCGUGGGUUUCGAAGAGUUUAAAAGCCUUCGGAUUUUCGAGAUUGGGCUCUUCUGGUGUACUUUCUCGUACGGUUAGUCAACAUCGGUUUUGAAUGUCAUAAAAUGACUGGAGGAAUGUGGCUUCGAUCUCGUAUUGAAGUGUUAUAGCCUUUGGUAGAUGUGAUGUUCGAGACCGAGGAUUGUGCAACGGAUACCCUUCGGGGCUACCUGUCUGAUCUCUGAUCGUUGCUCUGGUGCCGAAAGCUUGCUUACGGUUAUCAAAGUCAAUGGUCAAUAGGUUAGAACGGGUUAAAUUCGUUAAGGAUGUUGACGUAAUGGCUUUAAACGA